rnacentral:rRNA from 1 species
UAGUCAUAUGCUUGUCUCAAAGAUUAAGCCAUGCAUGUCUAAGUAUAAAUGGAUUAUACAGUGAAACUGCGAAUGGCUCAUUAAAUCAGUUAUAGUUUAUUUGAUAAUACCUUUUACUUGGAUAACCGUAAUAAUUUUAGAGCUAAUACAUGCGUGAAAGUGCGACUUUUGUGGAAGCACUGUAUUUAUUAGAUACAAAACCAAUCGAGCUUGCUCGUUACCUUGGUGAUUCAUAAUAACUAAACGAAUCGUAUGACUUUAUGCCGACGAUGAUUCAUUCAAAUUUCUGCCCUAUCAACUUUCGAUGGUAAGGUAUUGGCUUACCAUGGUUACAACGGGUGACGGAGAAUUAGGGUUCGAUUCCGGAGAGGGAGCCUGAGAAACGGCUACCACUUCUACGGAGGGCAGCAGGCGCGCAAAUUACCCAAUCCUGACUCAGGGAGGUAGUGACGAAUAAUAACGAUACGUGACUUCGGUCUAGUAAUUGGAAUGAGUACAAUUUAAACCCCUUAAUGAAUUCCAUU